rnacentral:rRNA from 1 species
AGUGGACGCUGGCGGUAGGCCUAACACAUGCAAGUCGAACGGCAGCACAGUAAGAGCUUGCUCUUACGGGUGGCGAGUGGCGGACGGGUGAGGAAUACAUCGGAAUCUACUUUUUCGUGGGGGAUAACGUAGGGAAACUUACGCUAAUACCGCAUACGACCUACGGGUGAAAGCAGGGGAUCUUCGGACCUUGCGCGAUUGAAUGAGCCGAUGUCGGAUUAGCUAGUUGGCGGGGUAAGGGCCCACCAAGGCGACGAUCCGUAGCUGGUCUGAGAGGAUGAUCAGCCACACUGGAACUGAGACACGGUCCAGACUCCUACGGGAGGCAGCAGUGGGGAAUAUUGGACAAUGGGCGCAAGCCUGAUCCAGCCAUACCGCGUGGGUGAAGAAGGCCUUCGGGUUGUAAAGCCCUUUUGUUGGGAAAGAAAAGCAGCAGGUUAAUACCCCGCUGUUCUGACGGUACCCAAAGAAUAAGCACCGGCUAACUUCGUG